rnacentral:rRNA from 1 species
UGCGGCCGCGUACUAAUCAAGUGAACGGUACAGGAAGCAGCUGCUGCUUCGCUACAGCGGACGGGUGAGUAUGUCUGGGAAACUGCCUGAUGGAGGGGGAUAACUACUGGAAACGGUAGCUAAUACCGCAUAACGUCGCAAGACCAAAGAGGGGGACCUUCGGGCCUCUUGCCAUCGGAUGUGCCCAGAUGGGAUUAGCUAGUAGGUGGGGUAACGGCUCACCUAGGCGACGAUCCCUAGCUGGUCUGAGAGGAUGACCAGCCACACUGGAACUGAGACACGGUCCAGACUCCUACGGGAGGCAGCAGUGGGGAAUAUUGCACAAUGGGCGCAAGCCUGAUGCAGCCAUGCCGCGUGUAUGAAGAAGGCCUUCGGGUUGUAAAGUACUUUCAGCGGGGAGGAAGGCGUUGUGGUUAAUAACCACAGCGAUUGACGUUACCCGCAGAAGAAGCACCGGCUAACUCGUGCCACAGCGCGGAAUACGAAGUCAAGCGUUAUCGGAUA